UAGAAGUGGCCUGUACACAAGGGCUGUGGU
rnacentral:piRNA from 1 species